UACAGAGGUCCCAAGCGUUGUUCGGAUUCAUUGGGCGUAAAGGGUGUGUAGGCGGCGCGGUAAGUCGGGUGUGAAAUCUCGGGGCUUAACUCCGAAACUGCAUUCGAUACUGCCGUGCUUGAGGACUGGAGAGGAGACUGGAAUUUACGGUGUAGCGGUGAAAUGCGUAGAUAUCGUAAGGAAGACCAGUGGCGAAGGCGGGUCUCUGGACAGUUCCUGACACUGAGGCACGAAGGCCAGGGGAGCAAACGGG
rnacentral:rRNA from 1 species